GAUGAACGCUGGCGGCGUGCCUAAUACAUGCAAGUCGAGCGAACGGACGAGAAGCUUGCUUCUCUGAUGUUAGCGGCGGACGGGCGAGUAACACGUGGAUAACCUACCUAUAAGACUGGGAUAACUUCGGGAAACCGGAGCUAAUACCGGAUGAUAUUUUGAACCGCAUGGUUCAAAAGUGAAAGACGGUCUUGCUGUCACUUAUAGAUGGAUCCGCGCUGCAUUAGCUAGUUGGUAAGGUAACGGCUUACCAAGGCAACGAUGCAUAGCCGACCUGAGAGGGUGGUCGGCCACACUGGAACUGAGACACGGUCCAGACUCCUACGGGAGGCAGCAGUAGGGAAUCUUCCGCAAUGGGCGAAAGCCUGACGGAGCAACGCCGCGUGAGUGAUGAAGGUCUUCGGAUCGUAAAACUCUGUUAUUAGGGAAGAACAUAUGUGUAAGUAACUGUGCACAUCUUGACGGUACCUAAUCAGAAAGCCACGGCUAACUACGUG
rnacentral:rRNA from 1 species